rnacentral:lncRNA from 1 species
UUCUUCCAUUUUUCCUACGCUUAUAAAGUAUAGAACUACACUCUUCACAUUCCAUAUAAAGCAAAACAUCAUCAUCAUCAUCAUCAUCAUCGCAAACUUAACAAAGCAUUGAAAAUCUCAAGUGUAUAAUCUGUUUCAACUAUAUGUACAGACUUCCCUUAUUAAACCAUUGUAAAAGAUCAAGCAGGCUAAAAGGUACCUUCAGCAAUGUCAUGCACAAUAGCAAUCUUUAUACACAUGUUCAAAACCAAAACCAAACAAAAAAGGUGUAAAGCAACACUAGGAAUCAAAAUCCACAUAAAAUAGAGAAUGUGAUGAAUGGUAUAAAGAAAAAGGUCGAACCUUUCUCUAUUCAAACCAGGAAUAUCGCCAGCAAUCAAAGACAUCAAAGCCAUGCGGUACAUAUGAUCAGCAAUCGACUCCCCUUUGAUUAUUCCAUGAUUCACCCACCUUUUCCUCUUAGUUGUCUACUCACAUUCACCACAACACCAAAGUCUCAAUCUUUAC